GGAGGGAUGGCAGAGUGGACUAUUGCGGCGGUCUUGAAAACCGUUGAGCCUUCACCGGUUCCGGGGGUUCGAAUCCCUCUCCCUCCGCCA
rnacentral:tRNA from 2 species